UUGUGCAUUCCUCAUGUGAGCCAACCUCUUUGAGAAGGCUGGCCUCUGUCCUGAUGGAAGGGCUCAUUAGGUUCGGCACCCAGUGCUGGUAAGAGAGAGUGUUGCACAUUUUGAAAGGUGUGUUUGAGAGCAGGAUCACUUGCUGAUUAUAAGUAAUAGUGAGAAGAUGCUGCUGUCAGGGUUUUCUUCUGAAAGGAGCAGAUUUUAAGGCAUCUUUCCAGGGUUUUUCCUUUUCACAUUUCUGAAACCAAAAUUGAAACACUCUUUUUCUCCCCAGAUAGUGCAUUGCCUGGAAAAUGCUUCAUACGCUCUCAUGGUGCUGCACUUGACUCUUACCACAAAUGCUGAAGGCAGGACUUUGCAUUUUCAGGCAGAUGCAGCCGUCCUGGUACCAAGAUCACAGGGAAUCUUUAUCUGGAAAGGGUCCCUCGGUUUGCCUCUUUUUUAAUUCUCCCCUUUUAAAAGCUGGUGUUUCCAAUAACUGAGUUGAAAGGCUGAGACAGAUUUUCAUUUUUAAUAACUGAGCUUCAGGUUCCCUGGGGAAAAAAUGUCCUCCACUGGAGACAAGAAGGUCUUGUGUCACCCAAAUUCUUUACUUAUUAAAGAGAUAGAUGAGAUCCUGUUACAAAACUACAGUAAAGUCUUUCCUUAAAUCUG